AGAUAUGCAUUCAAGCCUUACCUAGGAGAACUGCUUGAUGUGUGCCUCAAAGAAUCUUUCAAGGGCAGCAGAGGCACGAGCCAGAGGUUGUGUGCAUUUUUCACCAGGAUUUAACCUGGACGAGCUGAACAAGUCUCUAAAGAACAGCAGCCUGCCUGCUACUCCUCAAAACUAAGAAUGUGCUGCCUUUCACCACAGACUUCUGUUUCACAUGCAAUUCCCGUUUAUCUGGGGAACUAAUUAAUGAUGCUUAAAAAUAACUGCAUUGCUGUUCCCAUAAAUCCUCAAUAUUAUAUACCUUAGAAAGUAUCCUGCCUGUUAAAAAGCAGAAGGUGAUUAAAAACACCAGGACAGAACAUAUCUUUAUGCAAAUCCAUUUAAUGAGAAAGCACUAGUCCUUGUUGGAGCAGAACCUUAGAUUAUACACUGCAAGAACAGAUCAGGCCAGUCUGCAGCGUUUUCGUGCAUAGACAUACAGUUGGAAGAAUAUCAAGGAAAAUAUUCUGGGACAACAUCUGU